rnacentral:lncRNA from 1 species
CUGAAAUAAGCAGUAUUUCUCGAUACCACGAUCGGACAGCCUUCAUUGAAUUCUUUGACUGCCAAAUCAAAGUGGACGAUGUUUCCUAAACUCUUGCUCGCAAAGCUAAGAAAUAUGGUUUGUGGACUACCUAGAAGCUCUUUGACAAUCAUUUCUUCAUCUCCUGCCCAGAUCACCAAACCAUCCAAGCUCUUAUGGCAGAAGGCCACAUU